rnacentral:rRNA from 1 species
AACGAACGCUGGCGGCGUGCCUAACACAUGCAAGUCGAGCGCGAAAGGAGCAAUCCGAGUAGAGCGGCGCACGGGUGCGUAACACGUGGAUAAUCUGCCUCAGGGUUGAGGAUAACCUUCCGAAAGGUUGGCUAAUACUCGGUAAGCUUACGGUGACUUCGGUCGCUGUGAGAAAACUAGACCUCUAUUUAUAAGUUUAGGCCCAGAGAUGAGUCCGCGGCCCAUCAGCUAGUUGGCGGGGUAACGGCCCACCAAGGCUACGACGGGUAGCUGGUCUGGGAGGACGAUCAGCCACACUGGAACUGAGACACGGUCCAGACUCCUACGGGAGGCAGCAGUGGGGAAUUUUCCACAAUGGGCGAAAGCCUGAUGGAGCAACGCCGCGUGUGUGAUGAAGGUCUUCGGAUCGUAAAGCACUUUCGACUGGGACGAAAAACCUUUGGCUAACAUCCAGGGGCCUGACGGUACCAGGAGAAGAAGCACCGGCUAACUCUGUGCCAGCCGCCGCAGUAACAC